rnacentral:rRNA from 1 species
GACGAACGCUGGCGGCGUGCCUAAUACAUGCAAGUCGAACGCUUCUUUCCUCCCGAGUGCUUGCACUCAAUUGGAAAGCGGAGUGGCGGACGGGGGGGUAACACGUGUGUAACCUACCCUUCAGAGGGGGAUAACACUUGGAAACAGGUGCUAAUACCGCAUAACAGUUUAUGCCGCAUGGCAUAAGGGUGGAAGGCGCUUUCGGGUGUCGCUGAUGGAUGGACCCGCGGUGCAUUAGCUAGUUGGUGAGGUAACGGCUCACCAGGGCGACGAUGCAUCGCCAACCUGGGGGGGGGAUCGGCCACACUGGGACUGAGACACGGCCCAGGCUCCUACGGGAGGCAGCAGUAGGGAAGCGUCGGCAAUGGACGAAAGUCUGACCGAGCAACGCCGCGUGAGUGAAGAAGGGUUUCGGAUCGUAAAACUCUGUUGUUAGAGAAGAACAAGGACGUUAGUAACGGAACGUCCCCUGACGGUAUCUAACCAGAAAGCCACGGCUAACUACGG